UGUUGUAGGUGUACCUCGAGGCCCGCAGAGAAGAGACUCAGAAACAGAAUCAGAGCCUGAAGAUGCUGUCAGAUGAAGUUUCACAGAUCCAAGAGGUGCGAUAUUGCCUGAAGACACUGAGGGAGCAGAUGGCGUC